ACAGUGUUAGUAAUGUGACUGACAGGCUGUCCAGCCAAUCGCCACUCCACUUUGGGAGAGGGGUUCCCAUGACUCUCACAGGUACAGUUGAUCUGAUCAGCAGUUCUGAUGCAGCGAGAGGAGGGCAGAAUCUUUGGAGCAACUAUAGACAACAGAGGAGGAAGACAGUGUAGGUCUUCACUGCUGGGUUGGCAUUGCUGCUGCAGGUCAGAGUCACAGAGCUGCCCUCUACCACUGGACCAGAGGGACUGACCGACAAUGAGGUGUUCUUGGCAGGAUCUGAAGAAGUGAAGAAGCAUAUUGUAUGGAAACAGGUGUAGGUCUUCACUGCUGGGUUGGCAUUGCUGCUGCAGGUCAGAGUCACAGAGCUGCCCUCUACCACUGAACCAGAGGGACUGACCGACAAUGAGGUGUUCUUGGCAGGAUCUGAAGAAGUGAAGAAGCAUAUUGUAUGGAAACAGGUAGUUUAGAGUGUGUUAUGACACUAGCCAUAGUGUUAAACUAUUGUGUACAUUUGUUUUUAUUUUGCACUUACACAUCCCAUCUAGUUGAGUGACAGAUGAGUUCUGGGAUCCAAGACGAUUUCUGGUCUCACAAUAGAACUGGCUGUUGUCUGCUGGUACCUUGAUAGUUAGCAUUCUGCUAGAUCCCACUUCUGUGACCUGUUCUUGAUUGACUCUGUACCAGGUGUAGCUCCCCACUGCUGGGUUGGCAUUGCUGCUGCAGGUCAGAGUCACAGAGCUGCCCUCUAUUGCUGAACUAGAGGGACUGACUGACACUGAGGUGUUUUUUGGUGGGUCUGAAAAACAACAAAGAAUAUGCAAUUAAAAUGUUCUACCUGUUUUUUGGUUUGUUUAAUAAGUUAUUACUUGAGGCUCCAGUAUGUUUGUAAUGUUGUACUUACAUAGCACAUUCAGUAGAAUGAUUGAUGAGUUCUUUGUACCAUGGUCAUUCCUGGCCUCACAGUAGAACUGGUGGUUGUCUAUAGAUGCUUCCGUUUUUAA